rnacentral:rRNA from 1 species
AUUGAACGCUGGCGGCAUGCCUUACACAUGCAAGUCGAACGGCAGCACGGGAGCAAUCCUGGUGGCGAGUGGCGAACGGGUGAGUAAUAUAUCGGAACGUGCCCAGUAGUGGGGGAUAACUGCUCGAAAGAGCAGCUAAUACCGCAUACGACCUGAGGGUGAAAGGGGGGGAUCGCAAGACCUCUCGCUAUUGGAGCGGCCGAUAUCAGAUUAGCUAGUUGGUGGGGUAAAGGCCUACCAAGGCAACGAUCUGUAGUUGGUCUGAGAGGACGACCAGCCACACUGGGACUGAGACACGGCCCAGACUCCUACGGGAGGCAGCAGUGGGGAAUUUUGGACAAUGGGCGCAAGCCUGAUCCAGCAAUGCCGCGUGCAGGAAGAAGGCCUUCGGGUUGUAAACUGCAUUUGUCUGGGAAGAAAUCCUCUAGGUUAAUACCCUUGGGGGGAUGACGGUACCUGAAGAAUAAGCACCGGCUAACUACGUGCCAGCCGCCGCCGUAAUAC